CCUACGGGCGGCAGCAGUGAGGAAUAUUGGUCAAUGGGCGCGAGCCUGAACCAGCCAAGCAGCGUGAAGGAUGACUGUCCUAAGGGUUGUAAACUUCUUUUAUAAAGGGAUAAAGUGAGGCACGUGUGCCUUUCUGUAUGUACUUUAUGAAUAAGGAUCGGCUAACUCCGUGCCAGCAGCCGCGGUAAUACGGAGGAUCCGAGCGUUAUCCGGAUUUAUUGGGUUUAAAGGGUGCGUAGGGGGGUUGUUAAGUCAGUUGUGAAAGUUCGCGGCUCAACCGUAAACUUGCAGUUGAUACUGGCAGUCUUGAGAAGAGUUGAGGUAGGCGGAAUUCGGAGUGUAGCGGUGAAAUGCUUAGAUAUCACGCAGAACCCCGAUUGCGAAGGCAGCUUACUAGACUGUGACUGACAUUGAUGCACGAAAGUGUGGGUAUCAAACAGGAUUAGAUACCCUUGUAGUC
rnacentral:rRNA from 1 species